GCGCUCGCUACCGCUCCCGGCCCCGGCGGUUCUCCACGCCGCGCCCCCUCACUUAGCCCGCCUUCCUCGGCCUCUGGCCCUGGCGUGGGGCGCAGGAGCGGUCCAGGCGGGCGCGGGACGCCGGGCGCCGAGCAGCUCGGGAGGGCGCGGGCAGGGACAGUAGCGGGGGGGCAGGGGGCUGGGUGUCAGGGACGCCGAAGCCCCGGUAGUCGAAAGUCCCGUUUUAAGGACUGGCCUGAUAGAUUACUUUCUACUUAAAGAUCCAGCGGGAGGCGGGGCCACGUGACCGUGCGUGACGUCAGGGCCGCGGCCGAGCCGGCCAAACUCAAGUUGGUUCAGGGAAUUGUCAACAAAGGGACGAGAGACGCGCAACUCCGCUCCGCACUGUGCGCCAGCAUCCCCGGGGCACGGAGGGCGCUGCGGCCCGCCCGGAGACCCCCCCACCCAGGCUGGAUCCGGGCCCUGGGGCCCAGGGAGCGGGUGGGUGUGAGUGUGGGUGGGUGUGAGCGAGUCAGGGCGUGGGCCUGGGAGCGUCCGCGGGACUGUGCGACUGUCGCUGCCCUGCCUUCCCCGCCCCCUCUCCCUUCCGCCCUUCUCCCCCCCACUUUGUCACACUCCUUAGACAGGGACUGGGCGACCUAGAACGAGGUUCCCAUAUCGUGUUUUAAAAAGCAAAACUUAGUCUCUGUUUUGCUUUUUGUUUCAUUGUUUUUAGCUUUAAAGAGUAAGAGCAGCGCACCCGGCUCCCUCCUGCUAAUUAGAUUUCAGAUUCCCCUCUGGCCUCAGUGCUCAUUCCGGGGAAGACACCUGCUGAGAUGUCUUUUUCCCCCUCCCCCAACCAAACCACUCAGGUCCUACCUGCUCUUUCCCGGCUUGAUGCGGGCGUGUUUUCCUGUAUGUAUUUUUUCGUGCGGCCACAAAAAGCAUCAGCUGGGGUUCCCGAAGGUCAGAAAAUGGCUAUUGAUUAAUCUACUAGAAUAGUUGCCGAGAGAAAUAAAAACGACGUAAAAUAGCAGGGAACCUAUAAAUAAAGAAGCCAUAACUGGCUACUUGGAGUUGUUAAACGACUUAGCAUAUGAAAAAAUCGGAAAUGAGGCGCUGGGGAAGGAGCUGGGAUUGGCAGCGGCCUGGGUGUGGACAAAUCCUCCAAGAUUUAACUUCCAAGAAAACCGGCGGCGGAGCGGGUGGAGGAGGCGAGGAUGUGUGGCCAAUGCACGCGGAGUGCAAGGCCGCCUAGUUGGGAGCCGCAAGAGCCUGCCUGGUGUGGCAGGCACACGGAACCCAAUCCCUGUCUGUCCGCUGCGGCCUGGGAGGGGAGCGCCGGCCUCACCAGAGGAAGGAGCACGAGGGGAGGAGUUCCGAGAGGAAAUAAUUAGUGAAAUAUUUGCAGAAGAUGCUGGGAUGUGGAUUUAAUUCCGGAUGGACAGUGGUGCUUCUGAUUCCCUCAGUCUGUUUCCCCACCCACGAUCUCCUCUUUCCUUGGCCUAGACACACCAAAAAUAAUUCAAUAAAAUAAAAAUAAAAAUUUAAAAAUCUGUAAACUUGCUUCAUUACAGGCAUUGAGACACACAGAUUGACUUUCAUCCCCAUUAGACAGUUUCCCAGGAUAUAACACUACUCAUCUGAGGCUGGGAGCAGGGUAGGGGGUGGUGACA
rnacentral:lncRNA from 10 species